rnacentral:lncRNA from 1 species
UUGAUUUGGAAUUUGAAAUUAACAUAGUUAGAAAUAUAAAGUAAUUAAAUUUUGAACUUGGAAUUUUUGAUAUCAAUUAUUAAAUUUUUCUGUAGCUGAUAUUAAGUCUGAAGAAACAAAGAUUGCAAGAAAAGUGCUAGAUUUGUUGGAAAUUCGGUACUCGCCCCGGUACCGGACUUUGAGAAUUCGCAAUCCGCUCCGAUACCAACUGCUGUGGAUCCGAUAUCAAUUGUUGGAAUUCUGCAACGAAAACAUCAAAUCGAAUUUUUACUACUAUAAAUCUGUCUUCUCAGCAAAAACUGAUAUAAUCACAAAAGAUAGAAAAAAUCAAAACAGAAAAUAUACGAAUAAAAUAAGAUUCAUUAAAUAAGAGAAGAUUAUACAUGACUUCUCUUCUGUAUAGAGUAGCUACAAUUCGAACCCUCUUUCUAAAUCUCUUCUAUCUUUCUCUCGUUUUCUAUAAACUCACAAAAAAGACAUUCUUCACGUGCACCCGUACACAA